CAAGAAUAUAAGGUUGUUCUUAUUUGCUGACUUGUCCUAAUUUGCUAAAAACUGCUAUCAGAUGUAGCUAAUUCCUACAGAUAGCAGUUUCUCACACUCUAAGGUGUGGGAAACUGCUACCUGUAGGAAUUUGCUAUCUGUAGUAGGUAGUGAAUUGUUAAAAUUAGCAGUUACUGGUACAUAUGGUUGUUUUUAUGUGCCUACUUGUCCUAAUUUGCUAAAACUUGACAGUGGUGUGGGAUGGAAGCAUAAAGAGUUCAGCUUCCAAACAACCCUGCCUGGAUUCAUUGUAGAGGGACACGGGACGUGUGGAGGAUAAUUUAAAAUCUUAAUUUCGUUAGGGUUCACCUUCAAUAUACUUCUAUGCUGGUACAAUCUCUGACCAUUACAGUUCAUCAACUCAGCAGGUAAGCACAGGCAGCAAUGUACCUGUCCUGUUGCCUUCUGAUCUCAGAGGGUAGAUUCCAGCAAACUCCUGGAGUAAUCUCUCAUUGGAGAUAUGGUGCAUGUUUCUCAUACCCCAUUUUGUGUUUCUUACCAUCAUGCCAUCUUUAUUUAUUUAUUUAUUUAUUUAUUUAUUGCAAGUCACAUAAUUGCAGUAUAAGCAGUAGUCCUCCAUGCUCUCUGAAAAAAAUCAUUAAAAUGUUGUCAAAUGAUGGUUACAUUGUGACCAAAACUGUAAGUAGAAAUCUUGAUUUAUUCAUUACUGUCAAUUACUCCAAAAAAUUAACUUGUUUGAAAUACUUUUCCAUUUUUGGAGGGGUCAUCGUUUGGAUUGGAUCACUGCUUGGAACGUCUGCCAAAAAACAGUCCUCUUCGUCCGUGUCUGUGAUCUCCACAUUUAUCACUUGGCUGUUGUGAGGCUUGUGAGAUACUUCGCCUCCUAUUUCUCCUACCUCUUCUGAGGUGACUUUUUUCAUAGUGUCAUCCACAGCAGUUUCCAUUUCCAUGUUUUCCUAUCAUCUGUUUUCAGCAGGUUGCAGUUGGAGUUUCAGAGGAUACUGUGAUUCCAGCCAGCAAUUUCCAAGGGUCACCUGGACUACAGCAACUUUGCCGAUAUGUGUUUCAUCCCUGAUGAAAGAUUGGUGGACCUGGAAAUAAGUCAUGGGCAUCCUGCUGCCUUUUGAAGUUGUAUUCAGUUUGUUGGCAUAGCCUCUUUAAGGACUUAUGCGGUACGGUUUGUUGACAAAGCAGCAUGAGUUACUUGGUUUAGUAAUGAGUCAUUUAUUUUACAGUAUCACAAUUCUGGGUGCUAGCUUCUGGUAGCAGGGGUGUUAACUCCCCCCUUUUCAGUAGAGUAGAUACUGGUUUGGUGGCCUUGGUUUAAGCAGGCUGCUAAGCCCUAGUACUGUGAUGCUUGGAAUUUGAGCAUCAACAAGGGGAAGGCAGGUAACAGAGAGAGCAUUGAUGGUGCUGACCAUUUUCACUGUUCCCAGGCCAGACUGCCUCAAGAGCUUACUCUAGUGUGGAAUUACUAAAUUUGCAGCCUCUUGCCCAAAAAUUCAAGAUAUCUGUAUUUGUCCUUACUGGUUCCUGCCAUUCACAAAUUUGCUUAAAUAAUUAAAACAUAUUUCUUUCAGCAGCAGAGGAUGCCCAGGAGCUAAAGCAUAGACCAAAUGUAGCCCAGGUAGCUAUAAUUUUUCAACUCAGGCUCUGAAUAAGAAGAUGGGAGAUUCCUUAAAUAGUGGUGGAAACUAUACCCUUUCUCCACCAUCCUCCACAUGUUGAACUUGCUACCUCUGCAAGUCCAACCUGCACCUGCAUGAAAGCCAAGCUAUUUGCAAAAACAGGUUCCCUUGCAAGGCAACAAAAGAGAGCUGAAGAUUUGUAUUUUAUAGUUUACAUAAGCAAACAAAUUUAGAAGUGCAAGUAUUAAUUCUUACUAUUUAAAAAUUAACUAAUGAAUAGCAUCUUAUGCUGGCAUAUCCAUUGCUCAAAAUGUACUGAUACUUGUAAAUGGCCAGGCAGUUUCUGAAUUCCACUACAAAGUCUCAUUCACUCCCAAAUCAAGCUUCAUCCAGGUACAGUAUAAAGUAAUUUAGAUCAUAUUUAAUAAGACCUUAAAGUUUCAUUCUACUAGACACAUUUUUGUUAGCAAGAUUUACCAGGUAAUUACACACACAAAUAAGUACCUUACUAGAGAGAAUUGAUCUCCACUACACUUUUGCCUACAGCCAUUUUAGUUAAACUGAGGAAGUGAAACAAAAUAUCUUGUCCAAGUUAUUUUAGUUUACAGUUCCAGCAAUGUAUUUGUUUAGACGCGAAUAGGCUGAAUUAGAUUAGUCCAGAUUCAAGAAGAACCAAUUUAAUAUUUUAAGAUUAUUUUAUAACAGCAUUCUGAGGAGAUGGCACCACAGGAGGAUUUUGGAACUCAGAAGAGAAACUGUGUGAUUCUACUAUAAAUGUAGUAAUUAAGUCACCAUGUCAUCACAGAUAUAAAAAAAACACUGACAAACUUUACAUUACAGGUUAAACAGGGCUCUCUCAGCCUCUACCUUCAAACAUACUAUUUCAGGUUAACCAGGGGUAUGUUGCUACAAAGACUUUUUCAUUGCCAGCUUCUGUGUGACGCUCUUCCAUAUCUUUCAUUGUUCUGAAGGGUACAGAAUGACACUUGAGAGACUAUAUGCUUUGCUGGAAUUAAUAAACCAUAAAUUUUAAACAUGGUACAGUACACAAUACUUUUAGAUAAGGCAUCCCUUCCCAGUGCUUUAUUGUUUUCCUAUUACAGUAUCCUAGAAGUCCUGUUGUAGGAUUGCUUCUCCCCCCCCGCCCCCUUCUUAAGGCAAGCACAUAAGAACUUGAAGUCAAUAAAUGAUAUAGAGGUAUACAUCUGAAUCCAAUGCACAGGGCUUUAAAGGUUAAAAAAAUUGCACUCAAAUUGCUGUUAAUUUUGUCAAGUAAGUUCAACUACAGCCUUACCUUUUGGAUCGUUAUGAGUCAACAGCUGGAUGUCAAAUUGUUUUGCAAAUGCUGUGAGGUCAGGUGGCAUCACACAACAGGAAGCUAAAUUUACCUGGUUACUAUGUG